CUACUGUCAACGAGUGCAAGUAAGAUCUGCGACGAAAUGAAGAGCGGCAGCCAGUAUAUCUUUGGCGCGAAGCUAUACUGCAUUGCGCAAAAAGUAAUACACUGUCGAUUGUUAUUUGGGCGUGAAGAAAAGUGGUUCAACUACAGUAAGCUCGUGGACUAUGUUUUCUGAUGAAUAUGUCAGGGAAAAAAGAUGAUUAUACAAAGAAGUUUAUUGAUGGAUAUACAAAGGUGGCAGAAAAAUGUGUUAUGUGUUGCGUGUCGCUGUUUGCAACUACUAUUACUCCAGAGGAGAUGGAGUGCAUUAAACAAUGCAUAAGACAGGAAAUGAAGAUCAUGUGGCAGUUGUAAAAGCAAUAGAUUACCAAAAGCCAUCAAGUAAAACUGUUCUUGAUGCUGAGAGACCUAUAAGUGAACUGACAUGGAAUUUAUGUUAAAACGAAUUCUCUAAAAUAAAUAUUUAUUAAUAAAAAUGAUUGAUUAGGUGA